AAUUUAUACAGCUCUUACUCAUGAAAAGUCUGAAAACCAACUGAGGCACCUCUGUAUGUUAUUAAUUUAAUGAGAAACACGUGCAUCUCAUUGCACUGAGCCCAAGAAGACCCAAAAGGUGGCCAUGAAAGACCUUGCCACUGAGGUUGCCUCCUCCCCAUCCACAAACACCUGCUGGCUGCUCCACAGCAUGGCUGAGCCAUGCUCGCACCACACUGGGGACUGGCAGAGCUCGUGGCAUCCAUGCAGCUGCCAGUGCUCCUGCAUAACUGUGUGUGUGGCCAUAGCAUUCCACAGGCCUUUUAAGAGCUCUGAGGUUCACUGUUCCUGGUCUAACCUGUCCUGAACUGUCCUAAUUAAUAGUUUGUUGAAUUCUAAGCCACAAUUAUUUGUUAUAUAUUUUCCAGACAUGUAAUCUGUGUGCAGUUAGACUGACUAAGAUUUCGUUUAUUUCUGAAGCAUCAGUUAUGUUCAGCAGCAGAAAAGGAGGCAUAUUUUUCACUCUACAUGCCACACACACACAUAAGGACAUACACACUCCAAAAAUUAUGCUUCUCAGUUGCAAAGCUGUGUCUGGCCAUGCUGUAGGGGGGGCAUGAGCAGGACACCACCAUGCCCCCAUACCCCCAUGCCCCCAGGCUUUAGCUGCCUGGGCUUCAGCUGCCAGCAUCCAAACUGCACAUCCAGAGGCCUUAAAGGAAGCUGUAACAAGGAAUGCUAGAGGCAACCCCAGCAAAGGAUGUCCCUUCACAUACCUUUCUUGGGGGACACUUUAAAUGGAGACUUACUCUCAGUCCCUGCCUAAGCAGUGUUGGAAAUAUCUUCCAUGGAUUUCUUCCCAGCCAUGCGACCCAGUGGUCUGUGUUCUCUGGUGUUAAAGGCUGUGUGAACAACCAGGAACUGCCUGCUUGGUCAUAACUGAUUAUGACCAAGAAGGUCAUAAUUCAGCUCACAUGCCUUGAUCCCUUAUAAAGCUAUUCAAUUAUGUACAUCAGCUAUUCAGCUUUGCUGAAGAUGAAUUUGGCUAACAUACUUAUAUGUACAGUCUAACGUGUGGUGUGAUCCCUAAGCAGUCCUGAUUCAGCUGUGCUUUUUCUGCAGAGGCAUCUUGACCUGGCUCAAGAAGGUCUCCAGACCACAGCUCAGUUUCUGGCUAUGGGAGGCAUUUCUCUCCAAACAGCUUGUAGCUGUUCACCCCCACAGGCUUAAUCAUGAUCCAGAACCUGGAUGUUCUCCUGCUUAGUUCCCCGGGGCUUGGUCCAGCAAACUUUUGCAGAUGACACGGCAUGCUGGCAUAACCAAACAUAAUCUCAGUAAUGACACCCUUAUCUAUAACCUGGUAAAACACAUCUGGGUUAUGAUUUCAUACCACUCAGCUCUUUAUAAUAGCUUACCCUUGGAGCACUAGCAAGGAGAGGGAAGGCAGAUCCUGCAGGCUAAUGUGGUGCAAACCUGUCACUUAAAUACUUAAGCCAACAGGCCAGAGGCCUUCCUUGCUCCCCUGGUGAAAGAUUAACUUGGAUAGAGAAAGGCAUCACUGUGGGCAGAGCAGCAGGCUGUAGGGAUGACCUGGGGUUUUACUCUUGCUGCCAGAACUGCAGUAGCAACUUGAAGUCUCAGUACUGGACUAGUGCUUUACUGUACUGGAAGCUCCUCAUUAAAUGCUAUUUUGAACUCUUAUCCUUUCUGCUGCAGGUCCUUUUGGGAGGAUUUUGUUCAGUUCUCAAUCAUAUUGACAGGGUAAAAGUGCCUUCUAUUCUCUAUAAAUUUCAGUAUGUACUGGGUGACUUCCUCUGCUUUUCAUAUUUUAAUUACUUUGUCAAAAAGAGUAAUUCAGGGUCUUUUAGAAAACUCUCAGGGUGGUUUGACCGAAGUCCCAAACAUGACCUCUUCUCUUUUCAGAAAAUUGCAAGACUGACUUUUAUCCUUACAUCACUGAAACACUUGUAUGCUUCACCUUUUUUUUCAUGUCUCUGGGUGAUUGCACGGACAUUGCUUGUGUUCUAUUUCACCUAAGGAGGAAAAGGAAAGGGAUUUGAUUUCAAAUUAUUCAUUCUGCCACUGCUGUAUCUAGACCUUGUCUAGAUUAAUGAAGCUGAGUAUAGACAACUCUGAGAGGUUAUUCAUUUUGUACUGUGUGUGGAUCAAGUGCUUGGUCCCAAACCAAAGUUCAACUUCUGCACUAAAAAAUGUGAUUUAUUUCUAGUUUUUCAUCAUUUAAGAAUAGUUUGCCAUGCAAAUGCAUGCCAGUGAAUUUGGCUGGAAGUCUUGAUUCUAUAAGACAGCAAUGUAAAACUAACAGAGUUUAAAAGAAAUAAAGGAUAAUUUCAUGUCAGGGUAAUAUUUCAUAAGGGAUUUCGUUCUAGUCAUUUGUAUUUGCUGCAGUUGAUGCUUGGUUGGAUUGCUAUCGAAAUACAAGUUUUUAAUUCUGCAAGUGUUCAUUGUUGGAUAUGAAUAGCAGGAUAUGUGGAAUGACUAUUAAAAUUUGGUUGCAUCUACCCCUAAGAAGCCCACCCAAGUUUCAGUCUACACUUUUCUUCCAAGUCAGAGUAAAAGACCAUAGCUAUUUCACAGUAUUUCCUGAAUGUAGCUUUGGGUUUAUUCUUAGUUUAUUUGAUAGUACAGGAAUCAAAGUUUUCUACCCUUUGCUCCUUAUUUUGUUCGUUUAUACGGCAACAUGCAUUUGUGCUACUGAGCCUGUUCUUAACUCAAA